rnacentral:ncRNA from 2 species
ACGGUAGACACGGGGUGCCCCGCCAGGGGCUGAGAUUACACCCGAGAACCUGAUCGAGUUCGGACUCGCGGAGGGAUGUCGACGCCGCCUUUG